UACGUAGGGAGCAAGCGUUGUCCGGAAUCAUUGGGCGUAAAGCGCGCGUAGGUGGCUUCGUAAGUCCGUUGUGAAAGUCAAAGGCUCAACCUUUGAAUGCCGAUGGAUACUGCGGAGCUAGAGUACGGAAGAGGCGAGUGGAAUUCCUGGUGUAGCGGUGGAAUGCGCAGAUAUCAGGAAGAACACCAAUGGCGAAAGCAGCUUUCUGGGACGGUACUGACGCUGAGACGCGAAAGCGUGGGGAGCGAACAGG
rnacentral:rRNA from 1 species